GUGAGGAAUAUUGGUCAAUGGGCGAGAGCCUGAACCAGCCAAGUCGCGUGAAGGAAGAAGGAUCUAUGGUUCGUAAACUUCUUUUGCAGGGGAAUAAAGUGCUGGACGUGUCCUGUUUUGUAUGUACCCUGAGAAUAAGGAUCGGCUAACUCCGUGCCAGCAGCCGCGGUAAUACGGAGGAUCCGAGCGUUAUCCGGAUUUAUUGGGUUUAAAGGGUGCGUAGGUGGUUUGAUAAGUCAGCGGUGAAAGUUUGCAGCUUAACUGUAAAAAUGCCGUUGAAACUGUCGGACUUGAGUGUAAAUGAGGUAGGCGGAAUGCGUGGUGUAGCGGUGAAAUGCAUAGAUAUCACGCAGAACUCCGAUUGCGAAGGCAGCUUACUAAGCUACAACUGACACUGAAGCACGAAAGCGUGGGGAUCAAACAGGAUUAGAUACCCCUGUAGUCC
rnacentral:rRNA from 1 species